GUGGGGAAUCUUGUGCAAUGGGCGAAAGCCUGACGCAGCCAUGCCGCGUGGAUGAUGAAGGUCUUAGGAUUGUAAAAUCCUUUCACCGGUGAAGAUAAUGACUGUAGCCGGAGAAGAAGCCCCGGCUAACUUCGUGCCAGCAGCCGCGGUAAUACGAAGGGGGCUAGCGUUGCUCGGAUUUACUGGGCGUAAAGGGCGCGUAGGCGGACAUUUAAGUCAGGGGUGAAAUCCCGGGGCUCAACCUCGGAACUGCCUUUGAUACUGGGUGUCUUGAGUAUGAGAGAGGUGUGUGGAACUCCGAGUGUAGAGGUGAAAUUCGUAGAUAUUCGGAAGAACACCAGUGGCGAAGGCGACUCACUGGCUCAUUACUGACGCUGAGGCUCGAAAGCGUGGGGAGCAAACAGGAUUAGAUACCCCGGUAGUCC
rnacentral:rRNA from 1 species